GACAGAGGUGCCAAGCGUUAGGCGGAAUCACUGGCUUAAGCGUGUGUAGGCGGCGAUCAAGUACCUGUGAAUCCACGCUCAACCGUGGACUGCUGGUAUACUGUGUCUGAGCAGCUAGGGCGAGCGACAGACGUGAGCGUGAAUGCGUAGAUAUCGUCUGACGCGAGUGAAACAGCUCGCUGGCUGCGCUGACGCUGAGACACGAAGACAGGAGCGAACGG
rnacentral:rRNA from 1 species